CAUCAGCAUGAGGCAUAGUGGCCACUCUCUCUUCUUCAGGCAGGCACCAUCGGCAUGUGGGCACAAACUACAUACUGUGGCAGGAAGAAGGAGGAGUGCAUGGGCAUAGUCUCUUUCUUGCUGAAGUGGGCUUACAUGGAUUUGCAGUAUCACCUUUUAUGUCUUUUGUAAUGAACUGUGAUAUGUCUGGAUGGAGCAGGGAAUCAUUCAGGGCAUUGAAUGCUGAGUGGCUGUCGGGUCCUCCCCACCUCUGAGGCGCGCGCCUUUCCCGGCUUCACCAGACCGAUGUCCCCGCCACGCUGCCCUCGCCGGAAGAAGCUCCCUCCGCACCACCAUGAACACGAUCAUCUUCAAUAAGCUCAGCAACCAGAUGCUCUUCAAGGAAAGUGCCAAGGAGAGGGACAGGAGCAGCAGCCAGCCGUACGGGGGGGUCCUCGACGUCUCGCCCCAUCCGGAGGUGCUCAUUCCUGACAGCGCGUCCAUUAAAGACAACCUCAGCCUUCAGCACAGGAGGACAGGGCCCUGGUUAUCUGAAGGACCACCUGCUCCCAAGGGUUUCUGCCUGCUUGACCAGAUCAUCAGAGGGGGCUCUGCGCCAUGUGCCGACGAUGAGAGAGGCUCGGUUGUCGAGCAUGCGGGUCAGGGCCUUCUCAGUCAUUGCCCUCAGGCUUUGGAAUGCUCUUCCAGCUGGCAUCCGUUCCUCAGUCUCCUUGAGAGUUUUUAGGGGGGAAAUAAAGAUGUGGCUCUUCACCCAGGCUUUUGAAUGAGAGUAUUGUUUUUUACUCCUGCUGCUUUGUGUCAUGUAUUAUUAUUUUAUGGGUUAUUAAAUUUUUAUAUAGAGAUUAUUUUUAUAUUUAUAUUAUCUGUACUUUUGUUAUGCACUUUAAUUUUUGAGAUCAUCUUUACCUUUGUAUUUUAAUUAUGUAUU